AGCGAACGCUGGCGGUAUGCUUAACACAUGCAAGUCGAGCGCGAAAGUGACUUCGGUCAUAAGUAGAGCGGCGGACGGGUGAGUAACACGUGGAUAAUCUGCCUUUAGGACUGGGAUAACCCUGGGAAACUAGGGCUAAUACCGGAUAAGACCACAGGUUCCAUGGAACCAGGGGUAAAAGGCGGCCUUCGGGCUGUCGCCGAAAGAUGAGUCCGCGUCCCAUCAGGUAGUUGGUGAGGUAACGGCUCACCAAGCCGAAGACGGGUAGCCGACCUUAGCGGGUGAUCGGCCACACGGGGACUGAGACACGGCCCCGACUCC
rnacentral:rRNA from 1 species